ACCUCCUGCCUCUACCUCUCCAGUGUUGGGAUUACAGGUUAUACUUGUGUGCUGUCACACUGGCUCUAUAGUAACACUUUAGAAACUCUGUCCUAAUUGGCGACUGGCCUCCUGCUCUUCAGCCUGCUACGUUGUUCCCAACACCACCGGAGAAUUUGGGUGACGGCCAAGUAUUUCCAAGAGUGUUAGGACACCGCCAAUCUCAAGAAAUUCUAUCAGGUACCGAUUGCUGUCCAUGGGGGAGACCACACAGAAAGGAUGCUUGAGGAGGUCCUUAGCACAGAACCAAAGGCAUCCAAGGCUAAGCUUCUUUCAUAAACCAGACAUGUGAGAGUCCACCCAAGGCACCAGUAGAGUCGGAAGUUGGAAUCUCUCGGUUAAGAGUUCAGAUUCCAGAAGGAAACUGGAGGGAGGCUCUCCAGCUGGAGUGAUGUUGGCAUCAUAAGAAUGGAUCUGCGGUUAAGAGCACUGACUGUUCUUCCAGAGGUCCUGAGUUCAAAUCCCAGCAACCACAUGGUGGCUCACAACCAUCUGGUAACAGAAUCUGAUGCCCUCUUCUGGUGUGUCUGAAGUGUACUUAUAUGUAAUAAAUAAAUAAAUCUUU
rnacentral:lncRNA from 1 species